rnacentral:rRNA from 1 species
GACGAACGCUGGCGGCGUGCCUAAUACAUGCAAGUAGAACGCUGAAGGAGGAGCUUGCUUCUCUGGAUGAGUUGCGAACGGGUGAGUAACGCGUAGGUAACCUGCCUGGUAGCGGGGGAUAACUAUUGGAAACGAUAGCUAAUACCGCAUAAUAGUAGAUGUUGCAUGACAUUUGCUUAAAAGGUGCAAUUGCAUCACUACCAGAUGGACCUGCGUUGUAUUAGCUAGUUGGUGAGGUAACGGCUCACCAAGGCGACGAUACAUAGCCGACCUGAGAGGGGGGUCGGCCACCCUGGGACUGAGACCCGGCCCAGACUCCUACGGGAGGCAGCAGUAGGGAAUCUUCGGCAAUGGACGGAAGUCUGACCGAGCAACGCCGCGUGAGUGAAGAAGGUUUUCGGAUCGUAAAGCUCUGUUGUAAGAGAAGAACGAGUGUGAGAGUGGAAAGUUCACACUGUGACGGUAUCUUACCAGAAAGGGACGGCUAACUACGUG